CGCGCCCCGACGCCGCCGCCCCACCCCGCUCCGCACCGCCGCGGGCCGGGGGCAUCUUGCCGGUGAGUGCCCUGGGCCGCCCCCAACCCUUCCAGGGUCACCGCCACUGCGGACCCCGCGAGGCGGAAUAGAGCCACCCCCAGGCCUGGUCCCUGGGGACCAGAGCCAGCACACCCGGCCUAUGAGCAGCCCUGGGACCCUCCAGGGCCCCGCCUCCAGCGUCCAGGGCCCCCAGCCCCAGCACAGCCCCGGGGUCAGCGUAGCAGUGACGUCACGGCAGGAGUCCGAUACAACAUCCACCCUGACCAGGGGUGACAGCCACCCACGAGGAAACUUGGGUGAGGCACAGACGCCAGCUGCUUCUGCAAGGACCUACGCUUUAGUGACCCCAGCCAAACUGUCAGUGCAAAAAAGAGAAGGAAAUGGAGAAAAUGCCAGUGACAGAGCUGGGGUAGUGAAAGCGGAGUUUAAACUCACUUGUGAGAGCACAUCAGCACACACAGGAGGAGGCAGGAGAGAGGCAGGAGGGCAGGAGCUCAGAGGAGCCCCGAAGGCGGCUUCCCAGGCCUACCUCCCGGACGCCUGAGGACGGAACCCUGGGACGCUCCCAAGGUUGACAGGCCAGAUGAGGCGCGUGCAGAGGGUUUUCCCCAUGAGCAGGUGAGAUUCCCACUGACCCCGGCUGGCCUGGCGGCACCAACCAGACACAGAACAUCAGUGGAACCCAAGGCCAGACACAGUCACCCAGCACAGGAGCCUGCGGGAGACCCACACCGCAGGCCACCAGGGCAGAUGGACGCCUUCAGCAUCACCACAACCGAAGAAGAGCCGCUGGCCACUGUCACUCGGGCGUGGAGGCAGGGCCCCCCGACACCGGCCACGGCAGGAGCACACCCACGUCAGCUCUGCGGAACGAGCCCACAGAGGCCGAGUGGGACACGCUGGUGUGGCGAGGGGCGUGUUGUGCGCUGCCUGUGGUGGCCCGGCCGGGAGAAGGCCACAAGAAGCCUGCCACUGCUAGCCCGGCUCUGAGGGACAGUCCCCGAGCUUCCCCUUCCCUCGCACAGCCAGGGAAGGCGGGCAGCUGCGGCCAAAGGGAACUACUGCACUUCUGCUGACCAGCCCAUUUGGGCGAGAAACGUUGGUCAUCGAGGAAACUUGUCCAGCAUUUCUCUGGAACCACGAAAGACACGACUCGCCACCAGCAGGGCUGAGGGGAAACCAGUCUGGGCAGCACGUUCUGAACCUGACCCUGAGGCCAGAGUUGGCCCUCACAGGACACGGAGGAAACAAGGAAGAUCAAACACGCUGAGCUGGAGAGACAGAGCAGCAGGGAAGGCGUUGCUGGCCUUGCACGCCGUGGACCCAGUGUGAUCCCUGGCACCACACGGGGCCCCCUGAGCCUGCCAGGAGUGGUCCCUGAGAGAAGAGCCAGGAGUCGGCCCAGAGCACUGCUGGGUGCGGUCCCCAAACGAAACAAACAGCAACAACAACAACAGAUUAUAUACGUAUACAUAUAUAUAUGUAUGUUAUAGAGUAAUCAUAAUGAGACUUUAUUUAUUAUUUAUUUAUUUAUUUGCUCUUUGGGUCAUGCCCAGCGAUGCUCACGGGUUACUCCUGGCUCUGUACUCAGGAAUUACUCCUGGUGGUGCUUAGGGGACCAUAUGGGAUGCUGGGGAUUGAACCCGGGUCGGCUGCGUGCAAGGCAAACACCCUACUCACUGUGCUAUCACUCCAGCCCCUUUAUAAUGAGACUUCUUAUAGUCUAGCCCACUGAUACACCUAAAGCAUUUGAUUUUUAACUUACUUGCUUGUAUUCUCCUAUAUAUAUUGUCUGUCCCUCUCGGAGAGCCCGGCAAGCUACCGAGAGUAUCCCGCCCGCACGGCAGAGCCUGGCAAGCUCCCUGUGGCGUAUUCGAUAUGCCAAAUACAGUAACAAUAACGGGUCUCAUUCCCCUGACCCUGAAAGAGCCUCUAGUAUGGCACUGUUUGGAAGGAUGAGUAAGGAAAAGCUGCCGAAAUCUCAGGGCUGGGACGAAUGGAGACGCUACUGGCACCUGCUUGAGCAAAUCGAUGAACAACGGGAUGACAGUGACAGUGACACAGUGAAUCAUGAGCCUGGGCCAUCUCCACCAGGAUCAAAGACCUGGCUGUCCCUGGAGGGAGGACUCGCCACUGGGGCAUGCCAAGGGCUGAGCAGAUGCCCCGACACUGAGAACCAGAGGGGCCCGAGGACUCAUGCAGGAAGAUAGGCUGGGCCGGUGGGGUGGGGGCCCGAGGUUGCCGUAGAGCUCAGUGCGGAGGAGAGGCCCUGUCAGGAGACCAGGCAGAGGACACAGCCCACCACCGCCACUCCAGGGGCCACCCCGGGCACAGAGCCCUCGGCAGGCCUGCCAGGAGAGGGUGGCGACCGUCCCAGUAUGGGGAAUCACAGUGAGAAACGCAGAAGUGGGCUCCACACAGUGGGCAAGACAGAAGGACCAGCCGGGCCAGGCGAAGGGCCCUAAGCGGGGUGGGAGACCUCGGGACUGGCGGGAAAUGGCACUGAGGCCAUCUGUAAGGAGGCACAGACGCGGCUGCGGCUCAGAGGGGUAAGGGCCGCACGCAGGUGCUGGAGCAGGAGUGUGGCCUCGGGCCCCGCCGCCUGGCACAGCCCAGCCUGCAGCUCCUCCACUGUCCGCAAUGUCCAGUCACAGAAGACAAAGAAGACACGUGCAGCACGCAUGCACAUGGGCAGGCACACGUGUACACAUGAGACUUGCAUAUAAGGUCAUCCGUGUGUGUGACAGGACAUCCGUGCACAGAAGGACACACUUGCACAAGUGAGGAAAUGCAUGCAUGCAUGUGAGGAGUGUGGACACGUAUGUCCAUGAGGAGACACAUAGUCUCCGGUCAGGGGACCCGCCCAGCAGGGAGAACCUGAAUCUCUAGAUCUGACCCUCAGGGACCCUCACUAGGUGCCAGAAGUGGGGGAGCAUGGGAGAGGGACACAGCCUUGCGAGCCUCCAGAAGCCCAUCUCCCCCCCGGGCUGGGGAAUCUGAAGGGACACCUUCCCUGAUGCCUCCUGUCAGGGCCCCCAAGGGCCCAGACGCCCCCACCACGGCCACGCUGCACCCUGGCUUGCUUUUGUCUGGUUUUUUUUUUUUUUUUUG